GCUGUAGACCGGAGCUGUUCCUAUUCGGCCAUCUUGGCUUCUCCAGGCAUUUUCAAUUGACAGUAGAAAACAACAAUGGGAAUGGAGGCUUUUUGUGAAAAAAAGGUUCUCAUAAACUCAUGGGCAGCCAUAAGCUUUUAAAGGGAGCCACACCAUAGACUUUGAUUUCCAUCACCUGUAAUUGUCAAAUAAUAAUGUUACUAUUAUUAAAAACAGAUAAUGUUCAGUAAGUUCUUGCCAUGAGCCACACAGGAACAACUAUAUAAACCAUAAAGGUAGUAAAAUCAAAAAUGAAAAGCUUUGGUAACAUAACUAGAAAACCUACUUUUUAAAAUAGGAUUUUUACUAAGUCUAGGUAAGAAGACUUUUUGUACUUCACAAAAGGCACCCAAAAGAGAACAGUUUAAGUGGAAUACAAAGGGAUGCAGGCUUUAAUGAGUUUUUUGGCUGACAGUGAAACAUGAUACAAGUACCAUCCAGACUACCAGUACUAGCACAUGAUCAGGGAUCAGAAGUUAGGAGAAAGAUGAGCAGAGAAUGAGAAUCAGCAGUUAUUAGAGUAUGUAUGCAUCUCAUUCAAUGAUAAUUUAAAAAAACAGAGGAAGUAAUAUUAUAUGCCUUAUCUUAUAGAUGAAAGCCUCAAGAUGAGUUUAAAGGGCCAGAACUAAAAUUCAAACUUACCUGGGCCUCAUUCCAAAGCCAGUGUUUUGCUCUUAGAAUUAUCUACCUCUGCACACCAGUCAAAGCAAGAUGCUGCUCUAGCCGUUCCUGGAUGGUGUACUCAGCCCAGUGUUAGUGUAGAUGGAUUCUGGCAAAUAUGCACACCUAUAUUAUAGUUACAGGUGUCACAUUAGGAUGUUAGUGGGUCAUUUUUCUAGGUGCUAUAGACUGGCUUUGGGUCUUUGGGUGAAAUUUAACCAAAAGAUUAUACAACUGGAAUCAGGUUUUCUAAACUGUUACAAAAUUGGAUUAAAGCAGUUCAUGCUAGUUGUCACCAAAGCACAACCUCCUUAAUUGGAUAUCACAUUAAUUGGGAAUUCAGGAAUAUGAAACUCCACCAUGCAAAUAGUAUUUCAGUUUCUCAGGCCACAGACCUUGGAAUUAUGAUCAACAAUUCUCUUUCUCUCACACCCUUUGUUCAAUUUCUCUGGAAAUCCUUUUGUCUCUACCUUCAAAACAUAUCCAGAAUCUGGCCCUUUCACACCAUCUUCACAGCUACCACUCUGUUUUAAGCCACCAUUAUUUUUCACUUGAAUGUUUCAAUAGCAUCCUAAUGGUCAUUUGCUUACAUUCUUGUCCUUACCUACUGUUCUUCACAGAGAAUCCAACUGAUCCUUUUAAAACUCAUUUGCUCCUCAGUUCAAAAUCCUCCAUUGGCAUUCUAUUUCACUCAGGAUAAAAGUCAAAGUUCUUGUGAGAUUUACAAGGCCUGACUUGAUCUCCACCUCCACUCCCUUUGCUCUCCAGCCCCAUCUCCAAUUAUUCUCAUCUUUGCUCAUUCUGUUCCAGUCAUCCUUGCUAUUUCUUAAUACCUGAGUCAUGCUCCUUCCUUGGAGACUUUGUAAGAGCUGUUUCCUCUGCCUGGAAUUUUCUUCCCCCAGAAUCAAUGUGGUUGCCUCCUGUACCUUCUUCCAACCUUUGUUCAAAUGUCACCUUUUCAAUAAGUUUUACCCUCCCCACCCUAUUUAUAAUGACAACAUCCUUUAGUUAACAUCCUCCUUAUGCUGUAGUUACUUUUUCUUUUUCAAUCUCGGAUCUCUAAAGGAAAUUUUUACAGAGAUCCAAGAGCAUACUUCAAGCAUUUUUAGAGAGAUGUAAACCAGAUCAACCCAGCCAUACCCCCUGUUCUGCUACAUUUUUUUUUGCUAUAGCAGGGAAGCAUUCCCUUUGAAAAACAGCACCAUAAGUGGAAUUGUUCCUUAUACUACCAUUGAGAAGCCAGUGAUCUCAUUCUUCAUUAAAAAACACCAAUUUUCCAUCCAACAAAUUCAUUUUUAUUUCAGAGCAUUCUUGUGGAAAUGUACGAGAUUCUCAUAACUGAGUAUAUUGAUUCACCACUAAGAUAAUAGCACUUUCAAAAUAGUCUCUGAGAAUCAGAAAAAGAAAAUAUUUUAACACUUAGGAAUUCUGUAGGUGUUGAAAAUAUAUCAUUGCUUUGUGGAUUUGUUCAAAAUCCUCUUGACUGAGAGGGAAAAUUUUUUAAAGAGGCCAAAAUAUUUUAUCUGAGAAUGUAAAUGAAACAAACUUGUUCUGGUUGUUUUCAGGAGUUCUAGAAGCUUUACAAGGUUUAGUGAAAAAAUUAAGUAUUAACAAAAAUGAAGAGGUUCAGGUAGCUUUUAUUCUAUGAGACUACAUUUUCAUUCUGUAUAGCAGUAGAUGAGCUCUUAUCAGUGGGUGCUUCCUAAACAGGCCUCAACAUUGUAAGAUAGUGUCUCUGACAACAGGUUUAUAAUUACAUGAGAAACACUUCAAGUAUAUGGUUACUUCUCUCACAGACUUAAAUUUAGUUCCCUUAGAUUUGAAGCUAAUCAGGGAAAACUUCUACACUAAAUAUGUUUAUCCAGUCACUGCAGCCCAACUAGGCUUUUACAGUAAAGUAUAGUAUAGCAAACUCCACAAAAUUGCACAAACUCUUUGUCACAGCCAUAAAAUGGGUCCUAAGUAGUUACUUCCAUAAGGGGAGAAUUAGAGUGACCAACUGAACAAUCAUCAGUGCAAUUAAUAGAUUUCAGUCAGAUCAAUACAGUUUGAUAUUGAUUGUUCUCUUCCCAUCCCUCAUCACCGUCGUCUUCAUCCCCACUCUGGUUUCAACCAUUAGGGGGCUAGGCUUGGGGUUUC
rnacentral:lncRNA from 1 species